UCUUUGUUAGUAUAUCGGUUAGUACACGCGCCUGUCAUUGAGCUUUGCAAGACCGCGCGAAAGCUGGGUUCGACUCCCAGACAGAGAG